GGGCUUGUAAGCAAGUCAUUUAUGAUUAUUUGUGAACAAUGCAUAAACUUCUUGAAUAGACAAUCAUUGGUGUGUACAUUUCAUUUUCUGAGAAGUAAUAACAAAAAGCAUCAAAAUACAAACGAAAUUCAUAUAUAUUAGAAAAGAUAUGAUGGGUACAUCAAAUUCUAGACGUUAGUAGUAAAAAAAACUAGUGACUGCUAUUAACAAUUUGCCUGAAUUGAUGAUGUUCCUAACCGCAUUGUUAGAUUUCCAUCUUCCAGAUCAUAUUAUCAACACUGCAAUUAUGAGAUUUCUCCAAUGCUUAACAGACAGAACCUGUCCUCAAAUGUACUGGGGGAAUGAAGCAAUCUACUGAGACCUGGGACAUUGAAUGCAACCUCUUCAAUUGUCCACGCCUCUUCCAUUUUUGUUUUGGUAUGGCUCAUUGCCAUCUCCCCAAACCUGAAAAGAGUAGUUACCACAGAAUGCCCAUUUUUGUUUCAUCUGCCAGAGCACAAAUCCACCGGACUCCGCGCACCUAGAGGCAUUCCGGAUUUUCACUACUCUAGUUGCAGUUUCAAACUCAGAAGCUACCAUCCUCACCUUUCCCAUUGCAUAUGCAUUUCUUAUUGGGUUCUGCAACUCCUGCCCUCCAGAGGCAGCAGUAUACUGCUGCAAUAUGUAAUAAGCAGAUGAGGUUUC
rnacentral:lncRNA from 1 species